GAUGAACGCUAGCGGCAGGCUUAACACAUGCAAGUCGAGGGGCAGCGAGAGAGUAGCAAUACUUUUGUCGGCGACCGGCGGACGGGUGCGUAACGCGUAUGCAACCUACCUUAUACAGGGGGAUAACCUUUCGAAAGGGAGACUAAUACCGCAUAACAUUACUUUGAGGCAUCUUGAGGUAAUUAAAUCUUCGGAGGUAUAAGAUGGGCAUGCGUAGCAUUAGCUAGAUGGUGCGGUAACGGCGUACCAUGGCGACGAUGCUUAGGGGUCUGAGAGGAAGGUCCCCCACACUGGUACUGAGAUACGGCCCAGACUCCUACGGGAGGCAGCAGUGGGGAAUAUUGGGCAAUGGGCGAAAGCCUGACCCAGCAACGCCGCGUGAAGGAGAAGGCCCUCGGGUUGUAAACUUCUUUACCAGGGACGAAUAAUGACGGUACCUGGAGAAAAAGCAACGGCUAACUACGUG
rnacentral:rRNA from 1 species